AUUGAACGCUGGCGGAAUGCUUUACACAUGCAAGUCGAACGGCAGCAUAGGUGCUUGCACCUGAUGGCGAGUGGCGAACGGGUGAGUAAUACAUCGGAACGUGCCCAGUCGAGGGGGAUAACGUAGCGAAAGUUACGCUAAUACCGCAUACGAUCUACGGAUGAAAGCGGGGGACCGUAAGGCCUCGCGCGAUUGGAGCGGCCGAUGUCAGAUUAGGUAGUUGGUGGGGUAAAGGCCCACCAAGCCAACGAUCUGUAGCUGGUCUGAGAGGACGACCAGCCACACUGGGACUGAGACACGGCCCAGACUCCUACGGGAGGCAGCAGUGGGGAAUUUUGGACAAUGGGCGCAAGCCUGAUUCAGCCAUUCCGCGUGCAGGAUGAAGGCCUUCGGGUUGUAAACUGCUUUUGUACGGAACGAAAAGCUCUGGGUUAAUACCCCGGGGUCAUGACGGUACCGUAAGAAUGAGCACCGGCUAACUACGUGCCAGCCGCCGCCGUAA
rnacentral:rRNA from 1 species